rnacentral:rRNA from 1 species
GACGAACGCUGGCGGCGUGCUUAACACAUGCAAGUCGAACGGAAAGGCCCUGCUUUUGUGGGGUGCUCGAGUGGCGAACGGGUGAGUAACACGUGAGUAACCUGCCCUUGACUUUGGGAUAACUUCAGGAAACUGGGGCUAAUACCGGCUAGGAGCUCCUGCUGCAUGGUGGGGGUUGGAAAGUUUCGGCGGUUGGGGAUGGACUCGCGGCUUAUCAGCUUGUUGGUGGGGUAGUGGCUUACCAAGGCUUUGACGGGUAGCCGGCCUGAGAGGGUGACCGGCCACAUUGGGACUGGGAUACGGCACAGACUACUACGGGAGGCAGCAGUGGGGAAUAGUGCACAAUGGGCGGAAGCCUGAUGCAGCAACGCAGCGUGCGGGAUGACGGCCUUCGGGUUGUAAACCGCUUUCGCCUGUGACGAAGCGUGAGUGACGGUAAUGGGUGAAGAAGCACCGGCUAACUACGUG